CUAUGAGUUUUGCUGGUGCUGCUCUGAGUUGCUGAAAGAUUGAAAGCAGCAGUUUCUAUUUCUUGAUGCAUUUUUUUUUCCCUUUCAUAAAUUUGGCCUUAAUAUUAGACUAUUAUGUGAAUAUCUUGCAGCAUGUUUUGCUAUUCUGUAGUCAGAGAAAGAUGUGUCCAGGGAGAUGGCACUUAGCUUGGCCCCAGUGUAAGCCUAUAAGCUGUGUUUAUUUUAAAGCCACAGCACCCAUGAAGAAUGAGGUGAAGAUGAGUCUGUUGAACCCAUAUUGCUCUCUCUCAGUGCUGAAAGAUGGGAGUAACUGCUUCUCAAGUGCCCAGAACUGUAUAUGUGCAACACGAGUGCUUCUUUAAAGAAAGCCUCUUACUUCCCCUCCCUCCCCCUCUUUGAAGGCUUACUUCUUUUGUCGUGUGGCAGCAGGUUCAGAAAGUCUGAGCUCUCCCAGCUCAAGGUCAUUGGAGCUGUUUAAAUAUAAUCUCCUUUUCUGUACUUAUACUUUCCUACAACUUGCUAUUCUGUCUCUCUAAAAUUAAACUAUUGAGCAAAAGAGUUGACUGGACUUCAUGUGCUGUCCCAGGAAGGAGAUGAGCUCGCAGCAGGCUGCGCUGUUGGGGUGUGCCUGGCUGAAAGCACGCUUAGGAUAAGGAGCAAAGCCAGCAGCGAGUCUGUGCUUCCAUGUGGUGCUGGGCUGUGCCUUGUGUUGCAUGCAUUGAGGCACAGAGCACAGCGCUGCUGGCGGAAGUGAAACUGGUCAGCCUUGGGGUGACAGAGUUCAAGCCCUCCGCAGCAACUGUGUACCGCAAAGGAAGAGAUGCCCGAGCACUUGUAAAAAGAUGGUAGCUUGGAGUGCUUUGUCAUCUUUUAAAAAUUGGUGUUAAGGUUUUUCUCUAAAACUAGGAAGGUUUGAAAAAUGAAGUGAAAGCUAGGGAUUCCUUAUUGCAGCAGUUUGAUCCUUACAAAAGAAAAACAACCAACAGUGCCA
rnacentral:lncRNA from 1 species